CGGAGGGUGCAAGCGUUAUCCGGAUUCACUGGGUUUAAAGGGUGUGUAGGCGGAUAUUUAAGUCAGUGGUGAAAUCUCCAGGCUCAACCUGGAACUGCCAUUGAUACUAUUUAUCUUGAAUAUCGUUGAGGUAGGCGGAAUAUGUCAUGUAGCGGUGAAAUGCUUAGAGAUGACAUAGAACACCAAUUGCGAAGGCAGCUUACUAAACGAUUAUUGACGCUGAGGCACGAAAGCGUGGGGGAUCAAACAGGAUUAGAUACCCUGGUAGUCCACGCCCUAAACGAUGAUUACUCGACAUACGCGAUACACAGUGUGUGUCUGAGCGAAAGCAUUAAGUAAUCCACCUGGGAAGUACGACCGCAAGGUUG
rnacentral:rRNA from 1 species